rnacentral:rRNA from 1 species
UAACGCGUGGGUAACCGUGCCUCAUACAGGGGGAUAACAGUUAGAAAUGACUGCUAAUACCGCAUAAGCGCACAGUGCUGCAUGGCACAGUGUGAAAAACUCCGGUGGUAUGAGAUGGACUCGCGUCUGAUUAGCUAGUUGGUGGGGUAACGGCCUACCAAGGCGACGAUCAGUAGCCGACCUGAGAGGGUGACCGGCCACAUUGGGACUGAGACACGGCCCAA